GAGGGUAUAGCUCAGUGAUAGAGUGCAUGCCUAGCAUGCACAAGGUCCUGGGUUCAAUCCUCAGUACUUCCA
rnacentral:tRNA from 1 species